ACAGCAGUAGCCGCGGUAAUACGAAGGGUGCAAGCGCUACUCGGAAUUACUGGGCGUAAAGCGUGCGUAGGUGGUGGUUUAAGUCCGUUGUGAAAGCCCUGGGCUCAACCUGGGAAUUGCAGUGGAUACUGGGUCACUAGAGUGUGGUAGAGGAUAGUGGAAUUUCCGGUGUAGCAGUGAAAUGCGUAGAGAUCGGAAGGAACAUCUGUGGCGAAGGCGACUAUCUGGGCCAGCACUGACACUGAGGCACGAAAGCGUGGGGAGCAAACAGGAUUAGAUACCCCUGUAGUCCCUGUCUCUUAUAC
rnacentral:rRNA from 1 species